CAAACCUAAACACAGAGAGGAGAAGGACAGGAGAAACAACAAUGGCCUUUCUAAAAACCCACAGACUGAACAGUCUUUUAAUGGCAGAGUUAAGCCAUAGCCACCUCCUGUUUCCAAUGAAGAGAGGUCAGAAAAACUAAAGGAAUGAGCCAGGAUGUCCUUGGAACCACAGUAGAGGGAACAGCCAUCUUGCCAGCGCAACCCAAUGAAAAGCCCCUAGUAGUGCGCCAGAAUGAAUUGGAGGUCAACCAAUCACCGAGCGAGGC